rnacentral:lncRNA from 1 species
UGCCACAAGAUUUGUUGUGAUAGAAAAUCUGAAAAAUUUUGCAAAAUUUUUUGGGAAGUAAACACCAAAACCAAAAAUUUUUGGUGUGUAGAAUUUUGGUGGGCUGCUCAAGGUUUUGGGUUUUUGGAUUUUUUGCAAAAUACUUGAGUAACUAAACAAGGCCGGUCCAACUUCAGCAAUCGCCGGGGCAGCUCCACUGUCUAUGAAAUAUAUAUCUUACUGAAAAGUGAAUUUGUAUAUGACUUGUCAAAUUUUAUAGGGUCAAUUGAUGACUACUCUCUCCGUAUAGGAUUUAGAAGUCGUUUAAAAAAAUGAUAUAUAUAUAUAUUUUUAUGAAAGUAUUUUUCAAGACGAAUUUAUUUAUAUAAUUUUCACAUUGCAAACUCAACAAUUUAAAAGUUAUUGAUGAUUUAUAUUUCUAAUAUUUAACCUAAAUCUUGUCCGAAACGACUUCUAACUCCGGUAGGAAGGUAGUAAAUAUUACUGGGCCCCUGCACUAUGGCGCAACAAUUCCAGGUAGGCAUGGAGUCAAGGAAGUACAGAGGUUAGUGGUAGCUCUAACAGAUUUAAUUGGUUUAUCCUAAAUAAAACUAUGGAACGUUUGACUAAAUCUACAGAGAAUGGUACGAACAUCUAUCACAUCAAAGAUGUGAGUUAUAAAAAUAUAUUUCAUAAAUAUAUACUAACUUCGUAUCAUAGAUAUACUUUGACUUAGGACAAACUUGGAUCUCUUGUAUUUCAGUACUGAGGGAGUAAAAGUGAACUCAUGUAGUAAUGUUGAGUUCAGUGACUGAAUAAAUAUUAGAGUAAAGAAAAUGAUUUAUCAUUAUAUUUUGAACAAAUGAAACUGGAAUCUGAUUCAAAAUUUGCUCUUUCUGUUUUUAAAUAGAUGGGAUUUACGGUAUACAUAAGUCAAACUUUCAAAUUUAAGACUUGUCAUAGAAAAUACCUUCAAGAAACUAAUCAUAAAACUCAUGUACCGGAGGCUAUUGCGUUGUCUAAAAACUAAUUAUACAAAUAAAGUAAAAUACCCAAGGUUACAAGCAAUGCAAGACAUUGCUAGAUAGAUAUUUUCCCUGACCAUAAACUGGCGCUAUAUGCCCAAACCUGUAUGCUCCAUGUUCACUUGCCUAAAAAGCCAUGAUUCAAAGUACUAUUCGCUGAUUUGUUGUGAGAGAAAAACACUGCUGAAUAGCUGGUAUAUUCAGUACAUAAGCUCAAAAAUGUGCAUGAAGAGUGCAUAAAAUAAAUUUGGUAAUGACUUCAAUACGCACAGUCAUAUUUUUAACCAGCUGCACGUGCACACCCAUUCACACCAAACACCCACGCUCAUCUCCAUCCCCACGCGUCGUGGCUCUUCCUCUCUCUCUCUCUCUCUCUCUCUCUCUCUCUCUCUCUCUCUCUCUCUCUCUCUCUCUCUCUCCUCCGCCGACAGCAGUGGGUUCUAGCGGCUCC